UUCUCCUUCAAACAUCUCUCUAACCUUCUCCAAAACCCAUUCUUCUCUCUAGAUUCUCCAAUUGAGCCAUUGAAUCUCCAUUGCGUAAGUGCUUAGACUAUCUUGACAUCAAAGGCUUUGAGUUGCACCGAUCAAUUUGUAGGUUCCUCCGCGGGUGAGUCUUGCUUUUAAUCGAGGAUUAAGAAAAAAGGGGCAAAUUCCUUUUGUAUUGUGCUACCAAUUGAAGAGGCAGAUGAUGUUCCAUUGGAGCAAACUCUGGAAGGCGGGGAUACUGUACCUAGUUCUUAGGAUUCCUCUUUUCUCUUUAAUUUAUUUUGAAAGACAUUUAUGUAAUAUGAGUUUGAACUUUAUAAUUCCUUGAAAUUAGCUUUAGUCAUCUAUUUAUUUUGAAAUACUUUGAAUUAGGUAUAGUUUAAAGUUAUAAUUCAUUUUGGGAUGACUGUAAAAAUUAUAAACCUAUAUUUCACAUCAUCUUGACUGCUCUCUUUUAUCAU